rnacentral:rRNA from 1 species
AUGCGGCGCUCGCUGCGCUUGUGGUGCAGCAAGUUGGACCUGGAUGGCAACCCGUCCCGCUACUUUCCGCGCUUCCGCCCGCGGCGGCUGGUCAUGCCAGUCGAUCCGAGCGACCUCCACAGCGACAAGCGGCAACCUAACCCGCUAUUCAUGAAGGUAAAGGCGCAAAAACGCCAACGUCGCCGUGCCGAGAUGCGUGGCGCCGUGCAGCUGGCAAGCGUUCCCAAGGAGCGCAGCGUGGGGGACGUGUACCGGCUCCUGAUGGAUGCUUGUGAGACGCAGAACUUGUUCUCCGAUGCCGCGCUAACGCCGCGGACAGUGCGAGAUCUGGAGUCUCUCCUGCAGGCCUACAAGGCCGCUAACGCAGCGCUGCGACGCUCUGGUCAAGCGUCAGCAGCUCCCCUCGAUGGUGGAGCAGCGUCGGCCGGAGAAUCGACAACGGAGCAGGGAUCGCCACGUAACGACAACGCGCCGCAACACAGCUCUCCACUGUACUCGCGUGCCUUCCAAGCGAGUCCACCGCCAGUCGCCGCAUCGUCCUUUGCCUCCGCCACUGCCGCUGACACACUCUCCAUUCGCGAAGUGGAUCAGAUGUGGUCGAUGCUCGAUCACACACCCCUCAACGCCCCCGUGCACGGCGCUCUCGCCCUACGCGGGGACGCGCUGGUACGUUCCGUAUUGCUGGAGCUCACCUACUCUGCUUAUCCGCGGCUGCGCUCGAAGCAUGUGCAGCAGUUGCUGCAUGAGACGACAGGGUUUCUGCCGUGCGGCCGCAUAGCCAUGCGGAUCGGCCUCGCCGAGCACUGCGGCGUAGAAGGUGACAUCGCCAUGUGGCGUGAGCUCAACGUCCUCUCGGAGCGCAUGCGUAUCGCGCGAAAGGAGGCGGCAGCGCACCUGCAGCGCGUCGAGAAGGGCAUAGCAGCGCAGCGCCGGUGGUACUGGAGGGCGGUGUUGCGCUCCGCCGCUGCACGGCUGAAGCUGUUUCCAGUGCACAAGGAGGACCUGUUGCCGCGCAUGCAGUGGGUGCGCAGCUUUCUCUUCGCCUUUGUUGCCUUCGUUGAGAUGGCCGAGACUUCCGGAGACGCCCACGCCCGCGUGCGACCGCUUAUCUAUCAGCUGUUUGCGAGCCAGCUGGCACGCCAUAUACGGCUCCGUCAGAUCAUCGAGGCGGCAGAGGCCAUUGUUGCCGCCACGUCCGAGCAGGACGCCCGUGUAGAUGCACCAGCAGCAGCUCCCUCGGCUACUUCGCCUCUAUCGCCGCCUUUGGGUGAUAAUGAAGCGAGUGUCGAGGCGCUCCACCGCCGCGUUGCUGAGGAGCUGGCGCGGGUCAAGUCCCGCACUGUAGACGAGGAGGAGGUGCUGGAGGGCCGUGCGCACCCAAUGAACCGCAGGGCCGACCGGCGGCGCGAACAGUUUGAGUCAAGUGGCGGCGCCCAUGGUACCCAGAUGCUCCACGAUGAGGCCCUCGAGAGGCACGCGGAGGACUACGGCCAUCUUGCACCACCGCUGCUGCUCCACGCACUUGAGUCGACUAGCCCGAAUGCGUUCAAAGAGGCGCAACUUGUCCUUCGCUAUGCGCCACAGGUAUCCGAGAAACUGCGCCGAUCACCGAUCGAUGUUGAUCAGGUGGUGCGUCGCGUCGUGGAUGUGCAGGAGACAAACAACUACGCCUCACUGCACAACGCGCAGCAGUAUCGCCAGGUGGAGUACACGGUUUGCCGCCUCUACGCCGGGCGCUACUGCCUGGGUGAGGGGAAGGGCGAAACGCUCAUGUCGGCGAUGCAGGAUGCAUCCAUGCGGAUGCUGUUGAAUUACUACCUCCGGUUUCCUUUGUCAGCACCAUCGCCGCUGGAGUCGCCGACGCGGACGGAGGGGAGCAGUGAUUGCUCCAGUCAUGGCAAUGGCAGGGCUGCUAUAGCGACGGCACACAUCCCUGACGGCGAGGACGGCAACGCGGGUGGCGUGCCGGCGCCGCGGAUUCGCUCGCCGACGACGGAGGAAGAAGUCGUGCUGUAG